rnacentral:rRNA from 1 species
UACGGAGGGGGCUAGCGUUGUUCGGAAUUACUGGGCGUAAAGCGCGCGUAGGCGGCUUUGUAAGUUAGAGGUGAAAGCCCGGAGCUCAACUCCGGAACUGCCUUUAAGACUGCAUCGCUAGAAUUGUGGAGAGGUAAGUGGAAUUCCGAGUGUAGAGGUGAAAUUCGUAGAUAUUCGGAAGAACACCAGUGGCGAAGGCGACUUACUGGACACAUAUUGACGCUGAGGUGCGAAAAGCGUGGGGGAGCAAACAGG